rnacentral:rRNA from 1 species
AUUGAACGCUGGCGGCAGGCCUAACACAUGCAAGUCGAGCGGAAACGAGUUAUCUGAACCUUCGGGGAACGAUAACGGCGUCGAGCGGCGGACGGGUGAGUAAUGCCUGGGAAAUUGCCCUGAUGUGGGGGAUAACCAUUGGAAACGAUGGCUAAUACCGCAUGAUGCCUACGGGCCAAAGAGGGGGACCUUCGGGCCUCUCGCGUCAGGAUAUGCCUAGGUGGGAUUAGCUAGUUGGUGAGGUAAGGGCUCACCAAGGCGACGAUCCCUAGCUGGUCUGAGGGGAUGAUCAGCCACACUGGAACUGAGACACGGUCCAGACUCCUACGGGAGGCAGCAGUGGGGAAUAUUGCACAAUGGGCGCAAGCCUGAUGCAGCCAUGCCGCGUGUGUGAAGAAGGCCUUCGGGUUGUAAAGCACUUUCAGUAGGGAGGAAGGUUCAUGCGUUAAUAGCGUAUGGAUUUGACGUUACCUACAGAAGAAGCACCGGCUAACUCCGUGCCAGCAGCCGCGGUAAUACGGAGGGUGCGAGCGUUAAUCGGAAUUACUGGGCGUAAAGCGCAUGCAGGUGGUUAGUUAAGUCAGAUGUGAAAGCCCGGGGCUCAACCUCGGAAUUGCAUUUGAAACUGGCAGACUAGAGUACUGUAGAGGGGGGUAGAAUUUCAGGUGUAGCGGUGAAAUGCGUAGAGAUCUGAAGGAAUACCGGUGGCGAAGGCGGCCCCCUGGACAGAUACCGACACUCAAUGCGAAAGCGUGAGCAAACAGGAUUAGAUACCCUGGUA